AUUGCAACUGCAAGUUGCUUCUGGUGUGAGAGAAUUGGCCAUCUGCAAGGACGUUGCCCAGGUGCCCGCAUGAUUUGAUGUUUUUACCAUCCUUGUAGGAGGCUUCUGCGUGGAGCUGGAGCUGAUAGCGGGAGCUCAUCUGUGCUCUCCCCGGGUUGUAUUUGAACUGGCAACUUUCAAGUCAGCAACCCAACCUUCAAGUCAUCAGUCCUGCCAGCACAAAGGUUUAACCACUGCGCCAUCGGGGGCUCCACCUAUCACCAUGAUAAAGCAUGGAAGGAAGUCCACCCUGAAAAACCUCAAGGCUGUUGAACUGCAUCUCAUUUGCAUGAGUCCCCUGGCAUUCGAAACAAAACAUUAUUCUCACAGACACACUACUGAAAUAAAGAUCUAAACCUGGCUGAAAUUUACCAGUAAGUAAAUUCUGUUUAUAGGACAAUUAUACAUGCAGGAGAUAGAUAAUAAACUCUGUGCACUAUCUUUGCACACUAAUUUGUUUGGACAAUGGUUUGUUAGCCACACACAUUGAACAUUG
rnacentral:lncRNA from 11 species